UCGCGCAUGGCGUGGAGAAAGGGGAGAGCGCGCGCGCGUUGGAGUCGGGGCUAAAGAAGAGUCAUAGUUUUGACUUUAACCAAGCCGACUCCUGCCAAGGAAGAAAGCAAGAUCUUACUUAUUUUUUAUUUUCUCGUUCCUGCCAAACGCAACCGCCCUCCACAACUCGGGCAAAAUGGAACUCAUGGCCCAUUCUUCCGCCUUCCUCCUUCCCACGAUCUCCGGCGACCACCGCCCUUCUUUUACCUACGUCCUCGUCGUGCUUAACCAGCGACUUCCGCGGUUCAUUCCUCUCCUCUGGAAGCACUCACAACUACGCGUCUGUGCAGAUGGAGGUGCCAACCGAGUCUACGAUGAAAUGCCUUUUUUGUUCCCGCACGAAGAGGCUCUUGAUGUUCGACACAGGUACAAGCCAGAUGUAAUUGAGGGAGACAUGGAUUCAAUCCGAAUGGAAGUACGGGAUUUUUAUACCAGCCUGGGAACCAAGGUGGUUGAUGAAUCUCAUGAUCAGGACACUACAGAUCUACAUAAGUGCAUUUCAUAUAUUCGUGACUUCACUCCAGACUUGGACAGGUCUAAUCUUUGCGUUCUUGUAGCUGGAGCACUUGGGGGGCGAUUUGACCAUGAGGCUGGAAACAUUAAUGUUCUGUAUCGGUUCUCAACCAUGCGAAUAAUUCUUAUAUCUGAUGAUUGCCUCAUCUACCUCCUUCCAAGGACUCACUAUCAUGAGAUUUAUAUCCAAUCUUCUGUUGAGGGUCCACAUUGUGGACUCAUUCCCAUAGGGAUGCCAUCUGGAAAUACCACAACAACUGGACUCCAAUGGGAUCUCAGUAAGUAUAUGGUAUUAAAAUAUUUUGGUGUUUACUUUCUCAGCUAAAGCUGAAACUGGCUGAGCUCAAAUCUGACUCUAGUGUUGUCUGGGCACCAUUCUCUCUAAAUCAAGUCUUUGUUAUACAAGCAAUUCAGUAUGCUUGUCAUCUAACUCUGUACAGGCAUCAAGGCAUCUUUUGUUUUGUGUUUUGCCUGGCUUAAGACACUGCAGCUCCCAUCCAUCUCAUGUUAUACAAUGACAGUGAAUGGUGAUUAAACAACCAGAGCUAAAAACAUCGGCGUUUCCAGCAAUUUGCUAAUUUAAUGACAUGGAGAUGAGGUUUGGUGGUCUAGUAAGUACGUCUAACAUAGUCAGAGGAGAAAAGGUAACAGUACAAUCAAGUUCGGAUCUUCUUUGGACGAUUUCCAUUAAGAAGACAUAAUACCCACUGCUUCAGAUAGUCUGUAAGUUCUCCUAACGUACACUGAAAUGGCCUUUUCAAUAAAUAAAGCGCAUUUUAGAUUGUUCUUAUGUGCAUAUGUGAUUUUGUUGUUCGGAAAAAAUUAUUGGCAGUAGCAACAUUUCUUCUAACCGUUUGUUUCUUUAAGUAAGUUUAGGUCUAUUGUUCCUCUCUCCCUUUUUUUUUUUUUCAAUUUUUCCUUGUCUUUUGUUGUUUGCACCAUGCUUUGUUUGGACGAUGUCAACUUAUUUCCCAUUCAAUGAUUUUGCUUCAUUA